rnacentral:rRNA from 1 species
UACGAAGGGGGCUAGCGUUGCUCGGAAUCACUGGGCGUAAAGGGUGCGCAGGCGGCCAAGUGUGUCAGGUGUGAAAUCCCGAGGCUUAACCUCGGAACUGCGCCUGAAACUACUUGGCUAGAGUACUGGAGAGGGUAACGGAAUUCACGGUGUAGCAGUGAAAUGCGUAGAUAUCGUGAGGAACACCAGAGGCGAAGGCGGUUACCUGGACAGUUACUGACGCUCAGGCACGAAAGCGUGGGGAGCAAAAGGG